CUCUUCCCUUCGAUGUACGGCCAGGCGUAAAUCCAGGGUGGCCAGAGUACUGCUGAAAUACCCCAGGCGCUGGCUGCAAGAAAGGGACAAGGGAGUUCCUGUUACAUAGGCCAAUGAUGUAUACAUAACCUAGCAAAUUGCUGGGAGCAAAUUCAUCGCCUGGUUAAAUAAUUCAAUUUAUUGGAAAAUAAAAUAGACACUUCCCAGCUGGAAUAUCAGUGGUGAAUUGGUGGAUUGCUGUCGCCUCUCUGAAAAGCGUUCCUAAAUUACGUCAGUGAAAUAGAAAUUUCAUAGGUGACUCUUGUGAGCGUCUGUACGCCGUCAAAGCUCGUCUAAUGGCCGGUUGCCAUCUAGCUACAGUUUAUCCACUCUCUGUGAAAACUCUUUCCCUUUGUCGUGGCAGUUACUUACCUUGACGGUACUAGUGGCUCGAUGGCCAUAGACACGAGAGUAUAAUGAUUUCAAAAUGGACUCACCGAUCAUAAUCGCUGCCUUAACCGUAGUCCUUCUUGCUCUAUAAGUGAGGGGCCUCGUGACCGAGAAGUACCGAUCGAAGCUGAUGAUAAGAAGAUUCAAGACGGAGGCAUUGCUCGCGAGG